rnacentral:tRNA from 1 species
UCCCUGGUGGCUCAGAGGUUAAAGCAUCUGCCCGCAAUGCAGGAGAUCCAGUUUUGAUCCCUGGGUUGGGAA